UACGGAGGGAGCUAGCGUUGUUCGGAAUUACUGGGCGUAAAGCGCGCGUAGGCGGCUUUGUAAGUUAGAGGUGAAAGCCCGGAGCUCAACUCCGGAACUGCCUUUAAAACUGCAUCGCUUGAAUCCAGGAGAGGUGAGUGGAAUUCCGAGUGUAGAGGUGAAAUUCGUAGAUAUUCGGAAGAACACCAGUGGCGAAGGCGGCUCACUGGACUGGUAUUGACGCUGAGGAGCGAAAGUGUGGGGAGCGAACAGG
rnacentral:rRNA from 1 species